UGGGGAAUAUUGCACAAUGGGCGCAAGCCUGAUGCAGCCAUGCCGCGUGUGUGAAGAAGGCCUUCGGGUUGUAAAGCACUUUCAGCGAGGAGGAAGGUGGUGAGCUUAAUACGCUCAUCAAUUGACGUUACUCGCAGAAGAAGCACCGGCUAACUCCGUGCCAGCAGCCGCGGUAAUACGGAGGGUGCAAGCGUUAAUCGGAAUUACUGGGCGUAAAGCGCACGCAGGCGGUUUGUUAAGUCAGAUGUGAAAUCCCCGGGCUCAACCUGGGAACUGCAUUUGAAACUGGCAAGCUAGAGUCUCGUAGAGGGGGGUAGAAUUCCAGGUGUAGCGGUGAAAUGCGUAGAGAUCUGGAGGAAUACCGGUGGCGAAGGCGGCCCCCCUGGACGAAGACUGACGCUCAGGUGCGAAAAGCGUGGGGAGCAAAACAGGAUUAGAUACCCUGGUAGUCCACGCUGUAAAACGAUGUCGAUUUUGGAGGUUGUGCCCUUGAGGCGUGGNUUCCGGAGCUAACG
rnacentral:rRNA from 1 species